UAGCUCAGUUGGUAAAGAAUCUGCCUGCAAUGCAGGAAACCCAGGUUCGAUUCUUGG
rnacentral:tRNA from 1 species